GGGAUGGGCAUUUUGUAAAUAUGAAAAUGAGCGAAAGGGAUGAUGCAACAGACAGCAUUUGCUGGAAUAUUUUUAAAAUCAAAACGCGAAUUUUUCAAGACCGGAAAAUAAAAUAUUAAAUGAAUUAACUUUUGAAUUAAAAAACUAAAUGAACGCGCACUCACCUUAGGAAAGCAGUAUUUAUUUUGAAAAAUGCCCGUUUUGAUUUAAAAAAGUACUAUUCAGUAAAUUGGCAACACCACAAAAAGCCAAAACAAAAUGGCUACCAGUAUCUAUGUCGUGCCGUGAGCCCGUGAAGUCGUCACGGAUUCUCUUACAUGAAAAUCUUGAUUUACAAACUUGUUUUAAAGAAUGCAGUUUAAUAAAAGCCACCAGCAACCAAAUUCAGACAAAGAUUUCAAGACGCCUUACCUAAAGAAAGUGUGGCGUUUCUUCUGGGUUUUUUCAAUAAGGAUGGAGUCGGUAUAAUUGGCUAAUUAAGGACUAAUUAGGGAAUGGUGAUUUUGAGGUAAUGCUGUUCUUUUUUUGACACAGCACAGAAUUGACAAACUUCAACAAGUUUUGACAUCUUCGAGGCAGAGGCCCUGAUGCCCACCCUAUUGGCAUUCCCACAUCUCUGACAUUGUUUGAAAACUAUGUAGGCUGAUUGUUUCACGAGAUUUAGAUAGAUGUGAUUUGUGGUGUUAAAUCUUUGCCUGAGCCUGAAGAUACUACACAGUCUUGCAUGCUGAUUGUAUUUGAUGCUGUGCAAGCCCUAAUGGUUAAAGGAAGGCAACCUCAUUGAUGUUUGGCAACUGCUUAAUCUGAAAGGGGCUCUUGUAUUUCUUCAAGUCAGAGAAUUUAUUGUAAGCCAGUAAGUUGAAUGUUCAUCUUGAAAUGGUUGAAGAGAUCGAAUGGAGUCUACUCUUAAACAACAAGGGGAUUCAACAUCAUUGAGUUACAGAUUGAAGUUUUACAGUAGUAACUCGAGUUGAACAACAGUAAUAUAUAAUUUGUGCUAUGAUAUAUAUUCUGUAUGAGUGAGAAAUGAAAUAUACAAAUUAUAAGUGA
rnacentral:lncRNA from 1 species